rnacentral:lncRNA from 1 species
AACACGACAGGCUCUCACUGGGGAGAAAACUGAGGCCAAAUGGUGUGCAUAUAUGAAGCCAUGUUUAUAAAUAGUUCAGUAUCCAACAGAAGGGUUCUCGUUAGCAACUGGGAAGUCAGUUGUCCCAGAGAAAACAUUUUCACGGGUAACACUGUGGUCAGCAAAGAAUCCAUCAUAUGCUUAAGUCUGGCUUCAAGAGAUGCAGUAGCUGAAUGAUUUUGUUAAGCCACAAACCAACACUUCUUAGAAGGCCACCUCGCCUAGAUGGACAUAACAGAAUAUAAGAUAUACAGUCACUUUUGGUUUCAGAUUGGUAAAAUUCCUCUUUGCGGUCCAAGUAGGUAGGUAUAAAGCCCUUUCAUUAAUUGAAUGUGAACCAGUGUUUGCAAGAGACUCUCAAGUCCCCACCAAACAGUGGCAGAACAAAAGAGCCUUUUAAUUUGAUAUGUAAGUCCAUACUUCGAACAGUAAAAUGGAAUGUCCAAUGAACACUUCACACUCCAGGCAUCUGACAUGAAAGUUCCGCAUAAGACAUGUUUUUACGAUCCUGAAAUAGGGCUCUUGUUUUGAAGACUUUGCAUAUGUAAUUAAUAAUAGCUUGAGAUCAUGUACAUGCCACCAUCUGAGCCAAACUACUUUAUUUUUCAAAAGCAGGUAAC